GAGGGGAUAGCUCAGUGGUGGAGUGUGUGCUUAGCCUGCACGAGAUCCUGGGUUCAAACCCCAGUGCUGUCC
rnacentral:tRNA from 1 species